GUUUCACAUGAACCCUUGAUGGGUUGAAGC
rfam:Haloquadratum walsbyi DSM 16790 complete genome